GAUAUGAUGGCAGUCGCAGCCGCUCAGAAGAACCGUGAAAUGUUCGCCAUCAAGAAGUCUUACAGUAUUGAGAACGGAUAUCCAGCGCGACGACGUUCUCUCGUAGACGAUGCCCGUUUUGAAACGCUUGUCGUCAAACAGACGAAGCAAAGUGUACUCGAGGAAGCUCGACAACGAGCGAAUGAUACGAACGCGGAUCAGACAAUUACUUGUACUAAGAAUAAAGGACAAGAAGAAAAUUACAUCGAUAUUUCAUCAAGUGAUGAUGAACAGGUGGAAUCAUUAGUUUGUGCAGUGCAGGAGGAAGAAGCGAAAGCGGAGGCUUCAUCAGACAGUGAUGGAAAACCGGAUGAUGAUGAUGAUGAUGAUGCCGGAUUAACCGAGGAGGAAAUAGUGCUCGCGAAAACUAUAGCCGAAUCUCCGGAUAGCGAGUACAACGUGCAGAAAGCGGCGCUGGUAUUGAGAUUGCGAGAGGGUAUUGGCUCUCUAGGCAGGAUCCUAAAGACAAUCGAAAAUUUCAAGGGCACGAUCACACAUGUCGAGUCACGGCCCUCCAAGAAGGAGGGUCUGCAAUUCGAGGUCUUGGUCAAGAUUGACAUGAGCAGACAGAGCCUGUUGCAGUUAAUUAGAAAUCUACGACAAAGCUCGGCCUUAGACGGUGUAAACCUGCUCGCUGACAAUUCCGUCAGCAUCAAAGAUCCCUGGUUUCCCCGUCACGCCUCCGAUCUCGACAAUUGCAACCACCUAAUGACUAAGUAUGAGCCGGAUCUCGACAUGAAUCAUCCAGGCUUCGCCGACAAAGAGUAUCGCGCUCGUCGCAAGGUCAUUGCCGAAAUCGCUUUCGCUUACAAGUACGGCGAUCCGAUACCUUCUAUUCCUUACACCGAGACGGAAAAUGAAACUUGGUCGCGCGUCUUCAACACUGUGUUGGAUCUGGUGCCGAAACACGCGUGCGUGGAAUACCAGAGAGUCUUCAAGAAAUUGCAAGAGGAGAGAAUCUUCGAAUCUCAUCGUAUACCACAGUUGCAGGAAGUCAGCGAUUUCUUGAAGAAGAGCACGGGAUUCACUCUUCGACCGGCCGCCGGUCUCUUGACAGCGCGGGACUUCUUGUCCAGUCUUGCCUUCAGAAUAUUCCAGAGCACCCAAUAUGUCCGCCACAUCAACAGCCCGUAUCACACUCCCGAACCAGAUUGUAUUCAUGAACUCUUGGGUCAUAUGCCGCUUUUGGCCGAUCCAAGUUUCGCUCAAUUUUCGCAAGAAAUUGGAUUAGCAUCUCUUGGCGCUUCAGAUGAAGAAAUCGAGAAGUUAUCAACUAUUUACUGGUUCACGGUUGAAUUCGGAUUAUGUAAGGAAGGUCCUGAAGUCAAGGCUUAUGGUGCUGGCUUGUUGUCAGCUUACGGUGAACUCUUGCACGCAUUGAGCGAUAAAUGCGAACAUCGAGCUUUCGAUCCGUCAAUUACCGCUCUCCAGAAAUAUCAAGAUCAAGAAUACCAACCGAUAUAUUACGUGGCCGAGAGUUUCGAGGAUGCCAAGGAGAAAUUCCGUCGUUGGGUGGCCACUAUGAGCCGGCCAUUCGAGGUCAGGUUCAAUCCGCAUACGCAACGCGUCGAAGUCCUUGACAGUGUUGAUAGACUGGAGGAUAUGAUUUCCCAACUCAAUACCGAGAUGACCCACCUUACAAAUGCCGUCAACAAAAUGAAAGCGAGACAAUUUGCGUUAUUUCGACGAGAAAUUCUGCGUGCUUGAGUGGAUCACCUACCUGAAGCGACUCUCGUUAAUCGCGUUAAUGUUGUGUGGCAUCGUUUUGUAUUACGUGCCCAAGUCACGUUCAUAUGCUCGAAGAGUGUGUUGCAUCUUGAUAGAUACUGUUGCAAAUGGAUUAAAGUUUGCCUUAAAUACAGAUGAAAUUAAAUAUGAAAAGAU